rnacentral:rRNA from 1 species
CGCAUCUGUGCAUGCAGCAUAUCAAUAAGCGGAGGAAAAGAAACUAACAAGGAUUCCCUUAGUAACGGCGAGUGAAGCGGGAAGAGCUCAAAUUUGAAAUCUUCAAGGUUUUACCUUGACGAAUUGUAGUUUAAAGAAGUGUUUUCUGUUGAAGUUUUGGUAAAAGUUCUUUGGAAUAGGACAUCAUAGAGGGUGAGAAUCCCGUAUUUGACCAUUAUUUUCAGCUGUGUGAUACACUUUCAAAGAGUCGGAUUGUUUGGGAAUGCAGUCCAAAAUGGGUGGUAAAUUUCAUCUAAAGCUAAAUAUUGGCGAGAGACCGAUAGCGAACAAGUACCGUGAGGGAAAGAUGAAAAGAACUUUGAAAAGAGAGUUAAACAGUACGUGAAAUUGUCAAAAGGGAAGCGUUUGACACCAGUGUUGUUUUCUCGAAAAUCGAAUUAAAAAGAGUUAGAUUUUGUUGUGUAUUGACCUUAACAGCUUGCAUUUCAAUUUUCUUGCUUUUUUUAAUGCACUUUUCGUUUAACAAGUCAACAUCAGUUUCUUUUGUUGUAAAAAGGUCAUUGGAAGGUGGCUUUCUUUUCGGAGAAAGUGUUUAUAGCCUUUGACUCCUGCAAUCGGAGAGGACUGAGGUCUGCAGCGUAGAUCCUUCGGGGUUAGAUACAUUUGUGCUAAGUUAUAGCUUUUUAUAGACAACUUGUUGACUAUGAUUAGUCUUGUAGCUUACUCGCUUAUGCUAUUUUACCUACGCUUAGGAUGUUGAUCUGUAGUGCGUGCGC